GGAAUGAAUAGCAAUAGCUAGUUGUAUUAAUAAAUAUUUUCUACGAUAUCAACUUGGUUGAAUAAAAUUCUAGAUAGGCUUAUGAUAAUGACAUUAUCUAUCUAUGUGUCUUGACUAAAUUACGUGCCAGCAGUCGCGGUAAUACGUAGAAGACUAGUGUUAUUCAUCUUUAAUAGGUUUAAAGCGUACCCAGACGGUGUAUAUAGCCUAAUAAGGUACUAUAUUAACUAGAGUUUAUAUGUAAUGGUGCAGAAAGGUACUGUUGAGUGUAGAGAUGAAAUUCUGUCAUACCAGAUAAGUGGCACAGGUUUAGGCGAAAGCAUCACUUUAUGUAACAACUGACGUUGGCGGACGAAGGCUUAAUAAACGAACAGGAUUAGGUACCCCAGUAGUCUUUGCAGACAAUGAUGAAUGUCAUAUAUUUAAUAUUGGUAUAUUGAGUGUAUAAAUGAAAGUGUAAGCAUUCCACCUCAAGAGUAAUUUGGCAACAUUGGAAUUGAAAUCAUUAGACCGUUUCUGAAACCAGUAGUGAAGUAUGUUGUUUAAUUUGAUGAUCCGCAAAAAACCUUACCACAAUUUGAAUAUUAAUUAUAAUAAUUUAUACAAGCGUUGCACGGCUGUCUUCAGUUAAUGUCGUGAGAUUUUGGUUAGUUCCAUAAAAUUAACGUAAACCCUUACUUUUUUUUUUUAAUAAAGUUGUUCACCGCUAGAUUGGCUAUGAUAACAGGGACUAAGACAAGUCAUCAUGGC
rnacentral:rRNA from 1 species